rnacentral:misc_RNA from 1 species
GAUGAAGAACGUAGCGAAAUGCGAUAAGUAAUGUGAAUUGCAGAAUUCAGUGAAUCAUCGAAUCUUUGAACGCACAUUGCGCCCGCCAGUAUUCUGGCGGGCAUGCCUGUUCGAGCGUCAUUACAACCCUCAGGCCUCCGGGCCUGGCGUUGGGGAUCGGCGGAGCCCCCCGUGGGCACACGCCGUCCCCCAAAUACAGUGGCGGUCCCGCCGCAGCUUCCGAUGCGUAGUAGCUAACACCUCGCAACUGGAGAGCGGCGCGGCCACGCCGUAAAACACCCAACUUCUGAAUGUUGACCUCGAAUCAGGUAGGAAUACCCGCUGAACUUAAGCAUAUCAAUAAGCGGAGGA